UACGUAGGCAGCAAGCGUUGUUCGGAGUUACUGGGCGUAAAGGGUGCGUAGGCGGUCCUGUAAGUAUGGUGUGAAAUCUCCCGGCUUAACUGGGAGGGUGCGCUAUAAACUGCGGGGCUAGAGUGUGGGAGAGGAAAGUGGAAUUCCUGGUGUAGCGGUGAAAUGCGUAGAUAUCAGGAGGAACACCGGUGGUGUAAACGGCUUUCUGGACCAUAACUGACGCUGAAGCACGAAAGCGUGGGUAG
rnacentral:rRNA from 1 species